CUAACCUUUCCCCCUCUCUUUAUUACUCCUGAGUGCUCAGGCAACUUAAUCCAUACUCACGUCCUAUACGCUGGGACCUGUACCACUGAGAGAACUGUUCCUUUACAAACGUGCACGAUGGAUUCAUCCAUGGCACUGAUAAUUGCGAUCACAGCCACAGCAGGGUUCUCCACAGGAUUAAUUAUCGGUGGAGUCAUCGGUAUUGUGGCCACUCUGAUCUUCUACUUAUGGAAAAACAGAGGAAACUCUCCAGGACAGCAGAAUCCCCCUGAUCCUGCGAUCAGAACAGUACCCCUGCCACAGCAGGUCUGGUUUGAGGAACGGCACUCCGCUGUACCACUGGUACACUUUGAUGUACCAAUCAGACGACUAACUCAACAACAUAAGAUUAGAGAAAUUAAAUGAAGUACCUGAAAUGUAAACUGUAAACAAGGAACAGAAGACUCUGGGUUUUUCAGUGUAUCUGAUUACAUCAUUAAAUCAUUCUUUAGCCUAACAUAAAGUAACCUAAAGGUCUGAUGAUAAACUAUUUGCUUUAUAAUUGAGACUGUAAUGUGGGAAUAUUAAUGGACUUUCAGAUUCUGUGGAAACAACCAUUCUGAUUUAACUGAAAUGUACUUCUUUUUCUUUUACUUGAUUGUAAGAGACUAUAUUUUAAUCAAGCUAUUAAAUGU
ensembl:lncRNA